CCUGGUGCCAUUUUUCAGACACCAGAAGUGAAUGUCAAGCAGUGUCUGAUAACCAAGCCAGUCAUUUGGGCAUUUCAGGUAGGACCUGCACUUUUAGACCUGCAGGGAUAACCGGCCUUGCUCCAGGGACCACCCCGGGAGCCGAGACCUUUGGCACCAACUUAGAAUAUGGUCCGUACUCCGCGGUAACAAUAACCGCAUGGGUUUGUGUUAAUAUACAACAUUAAGGUACUUAUGUAGCAGCCCCUGCACUGGGUCCCGUCUCCUCUUCCAUCUCGACCAGGCCAUAAAACAAAUGUAAUUUUAACAUUUUCUCACCAAAGGUUCAGAAAGUAGCGCAGGACCGGAGAGAGAAAGCAGUCUGCCUUGCCCUGUGUAAGAGCACUCCUAGAAAUGCAGCGAAGAAGCUAUAAAAACCUAACAAGUUUUGAUGUGGGUCUCCCCCUGCACCCUGGAUAGUUGCUGAGGCUCAGAUCUGCAUUUGCAAAGGCAGCUGGCUGGACCCCUGAUGAAGCCAGGUGGGGCAUAUUAGUUGAGCUAAUCACCAGGCAUUGAUACCAGGUGUGGGGGCCUCCCAGGAAAGGUUGAAGCUGCUUUUCUUUGAGACAAUAGGAGCCAAAGAAAUGCAGCCCUUGGGCCUAGUGAAAACCCAGGCAAAAGUAGCAGCAGCUUGCUGGGAAGCCCAUCUGAUAAUGAGUCCUUAGCAUCUGGAAACCCUGUCACUGCUUUUUGGAUUUCAAGUGAGCCUUUGAGCGGAUAUUACAGAAGAUAAAGGACGUGUGGCUGCCAGGCGAAGCCCAGGCCUUUGUCCCCUAUGAAUAUCAGUGGAUGCUUCACCCUUUGGAAGAUGCUUGAGAUGCCGGAGUAGAGAAGAGGACUGCAUCGGGGCACAAGGAGCAGCAGCAGCUAAUGCCUACUCCUCCACAACUUGACCUUUACAUCCUGCAGUUCGUUGAACCUUACAGCGCAAAAGCAGAAGGGAAAACAACCCUCUGGGAAGCUUACGUUCAGCUCGGUUGAGCGCUACCAAGCCAGCGGAUGAGGUUCAUGGGCAGCAGCGGCAACAGUCACAGAUCCUCCUGGAAGUUGGUGGCUCGUAGAGGACCCUGCGUGAUCCAGGGGUCGGCGAACGGCCUGACCGGGAGCUGGCGGGGGAGCUGCUCUGCUGCAUCUGUCCCUGGGGGAUACGCCAGUUAUUUCACAGAUGUCAUAGACAUUCGGGCUGGAAGGGACCUCAUAAGAUCAUCGGGUCCAGCCCCCCACCCCAGGGGCAGGGAAUCAGCUGGGGUCGCAGGACCUUUCAUUUAUCUUUCUCUGUUGUGACUUUGGAGUGAUGCAAAGGGGCCAGGGCAGAGCUGCAAAUCCAGCCCUUUGAGACAGCAACAGAUCCGGGUUGCACGAUGCAUAGAAAUGACUACCCAGCGUUUAACGAGGUUAACGCGUGUUGAGCAAAGGUUUAGGGUGUAGCUUUUCUUUGAUGUUGAAAUGUUCUUGCCUAUCGUGACACACUUGCUAAUAGAGGAGAGGAUUCGGCAGAAGGCUCCUCCUAAUGAGAGCCUAACGUUGUUUAACUGAAACACGAGCAUGGCGCUCCUGGGGACCCCGUCGGAGAUAGAAAUAGAGAUCGUGUUUGCAUGUUCACAGCUUAAAUAGCUCUGGGCAUUAAGCAAUAUGCUGAGCUGCUGGCAUGUGCUAGGAACUAUUUUCAGCUUGUAAACUUCUUUAUGUGCAAUUUCUCCGCGCAUGAUGAUAAAUGUUUUAUUGCCGCGCUGGCUAUUAAGCACUUGUAUUGCCCUCCCGGAAUGACUGCUCUGCCAUUUUAUGUUUACUUUGAAUGCUAAAAUGUUCAU